rnacentral:rRNA from 1 species
CGGGGGGAGCAAGCGUUGUUCGGAUUUACUGGGCGUAAAGGGCGCGUAGGCGGCGCAACAAGUCAGCUGUGAAAUCUCCGGGCUUAACCCGGAGCGGCCAGCUGAUACUGUCGUGCUAGAGUGCGGAAGGGGCUACUGGAAUUCUCGGUGUAGCGGUGAAAUGCGUAGAUAUCGAGAGGAACACCUGUGGCGAAGGCGGGUAGCUGGGCCGACACUGACGCUGAGGCGCGAAAGCUAGGGGAGCGAACGGGAUUAGAUACCCCGGUAGUCCUAGCCUUAAACGAUGGAUGCUUGGUGUCCGGGGUUUCAUAGUCCCCGGGUGCCGUCGCUAACGCCUUAAGCAUCCCGCCUGGGGAGUACGGUCGCAAGACUG